rnacentral:rRNA from 1 species
GAUGAACGCUGGCGGCGUGCUUAAUACAUGCAAGUCGAACGAAGCACUUUUGACAGAUCCCCUCGGGGUGAAGAUGAUUGUGACUUAGUGGCGGACGGGUGAGUAACGCGUGGGGAACCUGCCUCGUGCUGGGGGAUAACAGUUAGAAAUGACUGCUAAUACCGCAUAAGCGCACAGUAAGGCAUCUUACAGUGUGAAAAGAUUUAUCGGCAUGAGAUGGACCCGCGUCUGAUUAGGUAGUUGGCGGGGUAACGGCCACCAAGCCCGCGAUCAGUAGCCGACUUGAGAGAGUGAUCGGCCACAUUGGGACUGAGACACGGCCCAGACUCCUACGGGAGGCAGCAGUAGGGAAUAUUGCACAAUGGGGGAAACCCUGAUGCAGCGACGCCGCGUGAGUGAUGAAGUAUUUCGGUACGUAAAACUCUAUCAGCAGGGAAGAUAAUGACGGUACCUGACUAAGAAGCCCCGGCUAACUACGUGCCAGCAGCCGCCGUAAAAC